ensembl:lncRNA
AUGAGUGGAUGGGUAGAUAGAGUGGGUGCUCUCCUUGUUUCCUUUAUUCCUAUGCUGUUUCCUUUCUCUGCUCCGAUCCUAAGCUCGCUGAUAAGAACAUACUGGCCUUCUGGAAGGGAAGGCUUUUGCAUUGUGUUGCCAAGUUUCAUAUUUCUGGGGCAUUUAGUUGUGUUGUUAUAGUUACGAUGCGUUGUUGUGAGUUUUGUGGGUCCGGAUUGUGGUUUUGUGGUGUGGUUGUGUUGCUACAACCAGGAGGCAAGGCUUUUGCAUUGUGUUGCCAAGUUUUGUAUUUCUGGGGUGUUUAGUUGUGUUGUUAUAGUCAUGAUGCAUUGUUGUGAGUUUUGUGGGUCCAGAUUGUGGUUUUGUGGUGUGGUUGUGUUGCUACAACCAGGAGGCAAGGCUUUUGCAUUGUGUUGCCAAGUUUCUUAUUUCUGGGACGUUUAGCUUUGUUGUUAUAGUCACUGUGCAAACAACUUUAUCCUUUUAUAUAUAUAGAUUGUAAGGUAACAAGGAAAUUACAGAAGACUCAUCUGCACUAUACAGUAAUUUGCUAGCACUAACAGAAAAGUUAAUCUUGGAAUUCAUGGUCUGGUGAUGGCCAUAACAUUCUCUAUCUCCUCUCCUGUUUCCCUGAGCUAAAGCUUUUUGGUAGAGAAUCAGAAGAGAUCUGACAUCUGACAAAAACUGAAAAAAGGGGAAAUCACCCCUGAUUUUAGCACUCUUGUCUUAUCAGAUUGCAAGUCAUUUGUUUGCUUUCCUUAAGGACAUGUUUGGAUAUUUGGCUAUUAUCAAAACAUUUUUUCUAAAUUUGCAGUGAGCACCACGAUGGAGACAUUUUUCUUUAACUGUGACCUUAACCUUGAGGACAGAUUAUUUCUGUGUAUCAUGUGGUAGACAGGGGAAGAGAACAGCAUAGGAUAUUUUCCUUUUGUCAACUUCAUCAAGCUAGUUUCAAUUAUCAAAGCAGAUGUGUUAUUGAUGUGUUCAACAUAAAAUUUGAUACCAUAGGCAGAAAUAAUAUAGAAAGAGUAAGAACAGGUUUAUAUGAAACAAAAAUACAAGAGCAAUUUAUUUCCCAACGUGUUUGUAUUUAUCUUUUUAAAAGUCUCUGGUGCUGUUUUGCUGUUUUGCAAAGUUGAAGAGUCAAUUUUGUUGGGAACUUCUCACAAGCCUCAAAAAUGAGAAUUAAAAAGAGAUCGAAGUAAGGAAACCUGCAAGGAAUGAUCUUCAAGCAAUGUUCAAGGGGAGACUGGAGAUGGGGAAAAACAGAAAAGGUAAGAAAAGGAAUUAAUGAAAAAGGUGGUCAAGAGAGAAUUUCACUUUGAUCUGAUGCAUUCUAGUUUUAAACUAAUGAUUCUUUGCCACUUGGAAACAGAAAGUGCCAGAUGUUGCUGUUUUUUUUAAUAACCUCCACUGCACUGAUUGAAGUCUUAAAACAAAUACUUCAUCAUCUUGCAUUAGCACUAAUUUCAGUGUUAUCCCAAGUGAUUCACACUUAAAGUGGUGGGAGACAAGAUGUCACGUCUUCAAGGUUUCUUUCUCCCUGUACCUGCCUGGUCUCAUUUUAUGCUUCUUCAAACAACUGCCAGGAUCUAACUGAAUUAGAGAAGACUAAUAUUAUUUGUUGUGCUGUUUUGUUUUGAAUAAAAGUCAACAGCACUGUAAAACAGCAGGACAAAAUCUAAUCAAAUACCUAAUGUAAUAAUACCUGUAGCACCCAACUACAACUAAGUAAAAGAUCGAUACCUUUAACAUCCAAAUCCAGUGGUAUAGCUUAGAAACUCCUUCAGGACAGAGUGAUAUUAUGCAUUUGUAGUGCUUAUAAAACUGCCCCUCACUUAUUUGUAAAGACAUAAAAAUAAGCUCCUUGGUCUUCUCUUGAAAGAUUCAACUUCUAGCAUUUUUCGGGUAGCAAUAAUUCCUACUCUAAAGUUGCAUAUUAAUUAACAAUUAUCUUUUUUGGUGUUCAGUAAACCAGGUUGCCUUCAAUCCUUUUAGCCAAGAACUGUAGCUGGAACAAAACUUUGUGAAGCUUCCUAUGUACAGUAUAGACAACAGACCUGAAUAACAAGUAGGAAUUUCAUUUAUAAUCCAGCCUCCCCCCCCCCCCAAAAAAAAAAUUGGGAACACAUUUUGGCUCAAAAGCACUGCAAAAAUGGACUCAUUCAGAAUCAGUUAUCAACUUUCAUGAAAGCUUCUGGUUGAUUUCUACAUAAUAGAAGUUGGCUUGCUUCUUCUAAUAGCAGUAAUAAUGUAGAUUGCCAACCACUGGAAGAUUGACUUCAGAUGCACAGUGGAAAUAUGGUUUAUGAGAAUCUGGGAAAUAUCAUUCACAAAAAAUUUAACACAUCACAGUAGCCUAACUACACUUAUAAUGAAAUAAGAUUCUCUAUUGAGACAUGUUUCAUUCCCUUUCAUAUUUUAACAUGUCUGUUAGGCACUUCAGAUCACUUUCUGAAAAUAUGUUCCUGAAGUCUAUAGCCAUCAUUCUGUGUUGUACAUUUUCCUCCUACUUAAUAUCUAGUCUUUCUCCAGGGCUGUAAACCAAACACUUUUAAUAGGUUUAUCUGGCAUGUGUCUGCAAACUGAAUGUUCAUGUAAACUACUUGCACAAGUCAGACAUAGUCUUUACUAAAACUGAAAAUGUCUUUUUGUUGCAGCCCUCUGUAACUUUAUAGCUGCUUGACUUGCAAUAAUUUAAAAUCUGAAAUAUUU